rnacentral:piRNA from 1 species
CACUAAGCAGUGGCAGAAUUGAGUAAC